rnacentral:rRNA from 1 species
UAGGGAAUUUUCCACAAUGGGCGAAAGCCUGAUGGAGCAACGCCGCGUGCAGGAUGAAGGCCUUAGGGUCGUAAACUGCUUUUCUCUGUGAAGAUUAUGACGGUAACAGAAGAAUAAGGAUCUGCUAACUACGUGCCAGCAGCCGCGGUCAUACGUAGGAUCCAAGCGUUAUCCGGAAUUACUGGGCGUAAAGAGUUGCGUAGGUGGCAUGGCAAGUUGGUAGUGAAAUCGUGUGGCUCAACCACACUCACAUUACCAAAACUACCAAGCUAGAGGGCGAGUGAGGUACCUGGAAUUCUCAGUGUAGGAGUGAAAUCCGUAGAUAUUGGGAGGAACACCAAUGGCGUAAGCAGGGUACUGGCUCGUUCCUGACACUCAGGCACGAAAGCGUGGGGAGCAAACGGGAUUAGAUACCCCCGUAGUCC